GCCAGGACAUUCCUUCCGUUGUGCCUUGCGCUCAUACUGCAUCUGCAAUCUUUGCCCCAAGACUCCUCGUGAUGUUGAUUGAUCACGAAUCCCUUUCAAAUAUAGUAUAAGAAAGAAAAAAUACACAGAAAACUAAGCUGGUUGGUGAACAAUGAUAACUGGAUUGGAUUGUGCCGGAUGGGUUGUUAUUGUUAUUGCUAUUGGUCUCUCAAAGAUUGUAUGCCGAGUUGUGUCCGUCUCUACUGUUUGCGAACUCAGUGUUAUCGACAAUAAUAAGCUCUACAACUAUAGCUUGGCCACUCCUACUCCUGAAUUCCCUCACGGGGUUCUCAGCGAAGAUGGGUUUUACAAAGUGGCAGUGAAUGAGACCGUGGUCUGGUUUCAGCUCUGCGAUGGAAUGAUUUUCAAUCAUGACCCACCUAAGUGCAUUGACUGCAGGGAUUGUGGUGGCCCAUCACGUUGUGGCAUGGAUUGUAGUGCCCUCAGGGUGAACAACAUAGGAGGUUACUAUGUGUGCUCCACCAUUGGUCGUGCCUCUAGCACAGACAUUAAAAUCAUUGAUAAAAAGAAUCCCCAUGUUGGUGUCAUUGUUAAGAUGUCCAGUACUGGCCUGGAGCUCAACUGUUCACUCUCUGUCUCUGUUAUUUGUGACCCAAAUGGUGUUCAGGGACCACAUUCACUUGAGAAAUUAGGAACCUGUGAUUAUGCUACAGUGCUGAGGCAUCCUUCUGGUUGUGCCAAGAUUGUACAAUUUCAUGGGAAAGGGUGGGGUUGGGUUGGCACCUUCAUAAUCAUUUCAUUGUGCCUUUUUGGAGGAUAUCUGCUAGCUGGUACAGUUUAUCGGUAUUUCAUCGUUGGAGUUCGUGGAAUAGAAAUCAUCCCAAACUUGGACUUCUGGGCCGGUUUACCUCACAGAACACAGAGUUCGUUUACAUCUUUGGUGCAGAAAUUUAGGGGACCUUCUCAAAGUCACCGGAGCUCCUAUUCUCCUGUCAACUUCUGAGCAUAUACAUUUUCCAUUUAGGAUUCUACUGGAGAAUUCAUCUUGUCUCAUCUCAGCUCUGCCAUGAACAUUCCACACACAAGUGCAAAUAGUUAAGUUCUUGGAUAGUUGCCUACAGGCUGAAGGCUAUUGGCUCCGACGGAGUGUAGUUUUUUAGAUCCUAGUAUGCUUGACAUACCAUCGUAUUACAGCAUGCGGCUGGCUUCUACUCAAUUGAGAGACACCAGCAGCCAUGGCAAUGGCAAGUUGUAGCAAAGAAAGUUUUGAGAAGGUAAAGGCUUGUGAGGAACAAAGUUUGGGUGGCUAGUGCAGCUUCCUCUACCAUCUGAUGUAAUUGUAAAACAAAUAAGGCAGUGGAAUUCAUUACCCAACAUAGAGGCUUUUUGCAACUGACAGGGAAGAACUUUGAGUUAGCUGUGGUGAAUAAACAU